rnacentral:hammerhead_ribozyme from 1 species
GUACUGAUGAAGAGUCCCAGACUAGGAUAAAACAGCUGUCCAGUAC